UACGAGGGGGGCGAGCGUUGUUCGGAUUUAUUGGGCGUAAAGGGUGCGUAGGCGGUUUGGCAAGUCUUGUGUGAAAUCUUUGGGCUCAACCCAAAGUCUGCAUAAGAAACUGCCGGACUUGAGUAUGGGAGAGGUGAGUGGAAUUUCCGGUGUAGCGGUGAAAUGCGUAGAUAUCGGAAGGAACACCUGUGGCGAAAGCGGCUCACUGGACCAUUACUGACGCUGAGG
rnacentral:rRNA from 1 species